rnacentral:tRNA from 1 species
GCCGGGAUCGCAUAACCUGGCAUUGCGCAGGCCUGGAAAGCCUGGCCCUCACGGGCGUCUGGGUUCAAAUCCCAGUCCCGGCG